CUGAGUUCGAGGCCAGCCUGGUCUACAAAGUGAGUUCCAGGACAGCUAGGGCUACACAGAGAAACCCUGUCUCAAAAACAAACAAACAAACAACAACAACAAAAACAACAACAACAACAAAAAAAACCUGUCUUGAAAAACCAAAAACCAAAAAGAGUCUUACUAUCCUAGGGUAAUAUGGAAUGUGCUAUGUGGAUCAGCCUACCCUCAAACUUGUGAUCCUCCUGCUUCAGUCUCCAAGGUGCUGAGAUUACAGGUUGUGAUGCUUGGAUGCCAUGUUUGGACAGUCAAUCUUGUUCUGUUGAAUUUCAGCCUCUAGCUUUUGUUGUGAACUUCAGCUCUGGUGAGUGUAUCUUGAGUCAUACUUUCUGUGUACCUAACCUAAGAUUUUGUACUACAUUGCUAACUGUCUAGACAGAUAUUAUGCUCAGACAUAUUUUAAAAGCCUCAGCUAGGCUGUGGUGGCAAAUACCAGCACUCGGGAUGCAGAGGCAGGAGGAUCUCUGUGACUUGGAGGCCAGACUGGCCUACAGAGUGAGUUCCAGGGCAGCUAGGGCUACACAAUGAAAUUUUGUCUUGAAAAACAAAAACCAAACACUUGAACAAACAAAGCCUCUGGAGAGCCACAAAAUCACUUCUAGUUCAAGGUUAGCCAGGUCUGGAUAGUGAGUUCAGGACAGCCAGGGACACAUAGACGCCCUGUCUCAAAACCAAAGCAACAAUAAAACAAAACAAAACAAAAACCAACAGCAAGACAGAAGUCUAAAAAAAUUGGGGGGCUU
rnacentral:lncRNA from 1 species